rnacentral:rRNA from 1 species
UACAGAGGUCCCGAGCGUUGUUCGGAUUCAUUGGGCGUAAAGGGUGCGUAGGCGGCGGGGAAAGUCUGAUGUGAAAUCCUGGGGCUCAACCCUGGAACUGCAUUGGAUACUUCCUUGCUAGAGUACUGGAGAGGAAACUGGAAUUUACGGUGUAGCAGUGAAAUGCGUAGAGAUCGUAAGGAAGACCAGUGGCGAAAGCGAGUUUCUGGACAGUUACUGACGCUGAGGCACGAAGGCCAGGGGAGCAAACGGG